rnacentral:rRNA from 1 species
AGUAGAGUGGCGGACGGGUGAGUAACGCGUGGGAAUCUACCCAGUAGUGGGGGACAACUACCGGAAACGGUAGCUAAUACCGCAUACGCCCUAUGGGGGAAAGGCUUCGGCCGCUAUUGGAUGAGCCCGCGUCAGAUUAGCUAGUUGGUAGGGUAAAGGCCUACCAAGGCAACGAUCUGUAGCUGGUCUGAGAGGACGAGCAGCCACACUGGGACUGAGACACGGCCCAGACUCCUACGGGAGGCAGCAGUGGGGAAUAUUGGACAAUGGGCGAAAGCCUGAUCCAGCAAUGCCGCGUGUGUGAAGUAGGCCUGCGGGUUGUAAAGCACUUUCAGUUGGGAAGAUGAUGACGUUACCAACAGAAGAAGCACCGGCUAAAUCCGUGCCAGCAGCCGCGGUAAUACGGAUGGUGCGAGCGUUAAUCGGAAUUACUGGGCGUAAAGCGCGCGUAGGCGGCUAAGUCAGUCAGAAGUGAAAGCCCCGGGCUCAACCUGGGAAUUGCUUUUGAUACUGCUUAGCUAGAGUUUGGUAGAGGAUAGUGGAAUUCCAGGUGUAGCGGUGAAAUGCGUAGAUAUCUGGAGGAACAUCAGUGGCGAAGGCGACUGUCUGGACCAAAACUGACACUGAGGUGCGAAAGCGUGGGUAGCAAACAGGAUUAGAUACCCUGGUAG